AUCUUUGAUAUACCCAUGAUGCAAAGCGGUAAACAUAGAGCCUGCGGUAGCAUACAGCGGAACCGUCAACCGCCGCCAUCUUGUAAAACUGCGGAAAACGUGCGGAAAAAAAGCAGACAAGAAAUAAAAUGGCCAAGGCAAAAGCAAAAACUCUUAUUGUACGUCUAGUGAGCAUGGCUGGGACAGGCUAUUUCUACACCAUGACAAGAAAUCGGCUGAAAGAUAAGCUACAGCUGAUGAAGUAUGACCCUGUUGUUCGACAGCAUGUUUUAUUUACUGAGCAAAAGGUCAAAAAAGGAAAGAAGGGUUGACAUAUCAUAAGGAGAAUGAACUAUAUUUUUUUAAGUAUGGAAUGAGCUCAAGGAACAAGAACUUUGAUCUAAAAGGAGAAGGAUGGGAUAUGAUAUGACAAACUUAAGAAGUAAAAUUUGCUGCAAGCCCCCAGGAAAGGGAUAAUAUUGCAGAGACUCUGUCUAUCAAGGAAGUGGACGCUUUACUGCCUUGACCUUAAUUAGGGGAAUCUACCCUGUUAACAGAGGCUUUUUCCUAGUGUUCCUCGGUUGUGCUUGUAUUCACAGUUUUGGCUACUCGCGUUGAACAACGCAAAACACCUAAAAACGAAUUUGCAAGGAAAGUGUUUUAUUAAUCCGUUGUAUUGCGACCUGCGUUUUCAAAACACUAUUUGUUUUUUUUUGUUCUGUCAGUAAAACCAUUCCGAGCCAAUCAGAGCCUCGCUUUGUGCACUUCCCUGGCUAUCCUCUGGACAAAAAGAUUGGCAAAAAAUAAUUUGACUGGCGGAACAGAAAAUCCUAAAAGACAAAAACAAAUCUAUGCUUUGAAAAUGCGGCGUCACAGUAAAUACAAAGAGGAAGAAAAUUUCUGCUAGCAGGGUAAGCGGAAUCCCCUUAAAAAGUCGAAUAUGCUCAUAAAAAAUACUUACACCUUGUUGGAUAGCAAAAUGGGUGUGGGCAACGGCUAUGGCAACGGCUGUGAGAAAAAGGCAUGGUCACAGAGAUAUUAUUAGCCUAAACCCUGAAUACAGAUUUUCUUAGGCUAAGUUCAAACGUCGUAUUAUCCAUGAGCCGUAUUCAAUGCAAAUGAAGAGGAAACAAUCGACUCGAUUCAUUUGCAAGCAUUUGCAUUAAAUACGGCUCACUGAUAAUACAAGGUUUGAACUUAGCCUUAGGCUUGCUAAAGAGUUACCGGUAUUGCACCCGUUUUAGGAAUAAGAAUAGCAGAAUUUUAGUAAAAGAAGGCCCUACAGAAGUGCCAUCAUUUGGAAAAGUUUGACUCCUUAAGUGAAAGGACAAGAGUUUGUGCAGUUUCAAAGUCAGGUCUAGAUUUCCUAGUAUGUUGUAAAUAUAUUAAUGUGGACCAGCCUAGAUAGCAUGCGAGUGCUAAGUCGGAUGUUACAAGGAUAAUUUGAACAGUGCUAAUUCUGAUGUAUAAAGUGUAUAUUUAUACAUGCUUUGUGGAUAAGUAAUGCACAGUUUUACAGUAUUAAGUUCCUGUUUAUUGUUGAAAACUUUGCUUGAGAGGGGGGGGGGGGGGGGGAUAGACUUUAUACUUGUUUUGUUGUGAGUAUAAAUUCCAGGGUACUUUUUUUGAUAGUAGGUUUCUAUGUUGUGUUUUGGGGGUCUGAAAUUUUGGAAUCUGUAGGACAAAUAAAUCACUACGCAGAA